GACGAAGGGGGCUAGCGUUGUUCGGAAUUACUGGGCGUAAAGGGCUCGUAGGCGGCCAACUAAGUCAGACGUGAAAUCCCCAGGCUCAACUUGGGAACUGCGUCUGAUACUGGAUGGCUUGAAUUCGGGAGAGGGAUGCAGAAUUCCAGGUGUAGCGGUGAAAUGCGUAGAUAUCGGGAGGAACACCAGUGGCGAAGGCGACUUCCUGGCCUGUUCUUGACGCUGAGGAGCGAAAGCCAGGGGAGCAAACGGG
rnacentral:rRNA from 1 species